UGGCAGUGAUCUGCUUUUUAAGGCCAUACACAAUAAACCAUGUCAUUAAUAACAGAAGAAAUGACUCAUCUUCAUUGUCUGGUUGGAGGGUAAUAAUGUGACACAUCCUGAUGGAAUUUCUUAUUUACAAGUAAGGAAGGGGGGAAGGAGUGAAAUACAGACCAGUCGUACUACAUUACACUUGGAAUAUGGUAUUUCAAACGACUCUUCCAACCUCCUUUGAUUCUGAGAAGGGUUUUAUGAUACAUGCUUUAAGAAAACAUUGAAUCAGGGCUCUGAGCUGAGAUUAUAUGAUUUGGAGGAUGAAGCAAUACAGCUUGAAACGAUCCUGCCAUUGAUGGCUUACUUUCCUGACCACCCACCCUCCUGGGGCUAAAAGAACCAGAGUCAAAUAAGCAAGAAAGAACCAUCAGCUAAAUCCAGGUUGAAUUCUAGGCAGAUAUAUGGAUAUUGUGCUUGAUUGCUCCAAUGUACUUUUUCAUUCAACCAACAUUUGUUGAACAUCUGAAGGAUGAACCUUGGCAUGGUGUAAAGCUAUCCAGAAAUGAGUACCUUGGGACCCUUUUAAAGCCAAUAGCCAACCGAGCAGCGAAUCUGUUCAAAGGUAC
ensembl:lncRNA